AAACCCACGACACACAACACACACAACAGUUUCGGUGGUCGUCUUCCCUCAAGUUUUCCCCUC
rnacentral:ribozyme from 1 species